AUGACGAGGCGGUGCUCGCACUGCAGCAACAACGGCCACAACGCGCGGACCUGCCCCGCCCGCUCCGGCGGCGGCGGCGGCGGCGGCGGUGUGAGGCUCUUCGGCGUGCACCUCACGUCGCCGCCGGUGGCCGCGAUGAAGAAGAGCGCGAGCAUGAGCUGCAUCGCGUCGUCGCUCGGCGGCGGCGGGUCCGGGGGCUCGUCGCCGGCCGCGGGGCCGGGGGGCGGCGCCGCCAGGGGAGGGGGCGAGGGCGCGCCCGGGUACGUCUCCGACGACCCCAUGCACGCCUCCUGCUCGACCAAUGGCCGGGCCGAGCGCAAGAAAGGUACACCUUGGACUGAAGAAGAGCAUAGAUUGUUUCUACUGGGUCUGCAGAAGCUUGGCAAAGGAGACUGGCGUGGGAUAUCUCGUAGUUUUGUUGUCUCAAGGACCCCAACUCAGGUGGCCAGCCACGCCCAGAAGUAUUUCAUUAGACAGACAAACUUCUCAAGGCGGAAGAGGAGGUCAAGCUUGUUUGACAUGGUCCCAGAAAUGCCAAUGGAUGAGUCCCCUGAUGGCACGGAAGAGUUUAUGCUCUGUGGCACUCAAGAUGAAUCAACAAGUUCAAAUAAACUGUCACUGUUUCAUCUUGAGCGACAGAAGGAAGCAGAGUGUGAUAAAGAUCUGCCAACUUUGCAACUAAGGCAGCACGAGGAAUCUGAAUAUGCAGGGCCUUCACUAGAAGCACCAGACUUGGAGAUGAACAAUGGUGUAUCAUUCAAGACCACAUCUGUCUCGACAGUGCCGGCAUUCUACCCAGCAUUGCUCCCUGUUCCACUAACACUGUGGCCUGCAAAUGUUUCUAAUGUGGAAGCAUCAAACGCAACCCAUGAAGUCCUAAAGCCCACUCCUGUGAAUUUAAAGGAGGCAAUUAAGGCGGAUGAGGUUGUCAGUAUGUCCAAGCUCAGCAUUGGUGGGGGUAGCUCUGGCUCAAUGGAACCUUCUGCUCUUUCCCUUCAGCUUACCGGGCCGACAAAUACAAGGCAAUCAGCUUUUCAUGUGAGCCCACCAAUGACUAGAACUGACCUUAGUCAGGGAAACAACAGCCCAAUCCAUGCAGUUUGA
rnacentral:rRNA from 1 species